UACGUAGGAGGCAAGCGUUGUCCGGAAUCAUUGGGCGUAAAGCGCGCGUAGGCGGCCCGGUAAGUCCGCUGUGAAAGUCGGGGGCUCAACCCUCGGAUGCCGGUGGAUACUGUCGGGCUUGAGUGCGGAAGAGGCGAGUGGAAUUCCUGGUGUAGCGGUGAAAUGCGCAGAUAUCAGGAGGAACACCAAUUGCGAAGGCAGCUCGCUGGGACGUUACUGACGCUGAUGCGCGAAAGCGUGGGGAGCAAACAGG
rnacentral:rRNA from 1 species